GUCGCCGAUUCGAAUGACGCUUGG
rnacentral:siRNA from 1 species